GCCCCAAUGGGUGUGGAGAGAGGUUGCCUAGGAGAGAGAUGCUCAAGCAUACUAAAACAGUGUGCACUCACCAAGUAAGAGACUGCGACUACAAAGACUUGGGGUGCACCUACAAGGGUACCAUCAAGGAACUAACGAAGCAUGCAAAGGAGUACCCCGCAUAUCACAAUCAACUACUG